GAUUAAGCCAUGCAUGUGUAAGUAUAAAUAAUUAUAUAGUGAAACUGCGAAUGGCUCAUUAUAUCAGUUAUAGUUUAUUUGAUAAUUAAUUUGAAAUUUCUUUUGAAAUUUUAAUACUAAUUGGAUAACCGUAGUAAUUCUAGAGCUAAUACAUGAAUUAAAAUCCUAACCUUUAUGGAAAGGAUGUAUUUAUUAGAUGAUAAAACCAAUAUAAUUAAUAAGGUGAAUCAUAAUAAUUAAUCGAAUCGUAUGGUUGUAAAAUACUAACGAUAAAUCAUUCAAGUUUCUGCCCUAUCAGCUUUCGAUGGUAGUGUAUUGGACUACCAUG
rnacentral:rRNA from 1 species